rnacentral:rRNA from 1 species
UCUACCAUGCAGUCGAGGGCGUGGCGGGGCAACUCGUCACGACCGGCGAACGGGUGCGUAACACGUGAGCGACCUACCCUGGUGUGGGGGAUAGCCGGCCCAACGGCCGGGUAAUACCGCAUACGCUCUUCGAGGGACAUCCCUGGAAGAACAAAGCCUUCGGGCGCAUUGGGAGGGGCUCGCGGCCUAUCAGCUUGUUGGCGGGGUAACGGCCCACCAAGGCGACGACGGGUAGCUGGUCUGAGAGGAUGGCCAGCCACAUUGGGACUGAGAGACGGCCCAGACUCCUACGGGAGGCAGCAGUGGGGAAUCUUGCGCAAUGGGCGAAAGCCUGACGCAGCGACGCCGCGUGCGGGAGGACAGCCUUCGGGUUGUAAACCGCUGUUGCCCGAGACGAAAUUCCUUUUCGAAGGGACUGACGGUAUCGGGUGAGGAAGCACCGGCUAACUCCGUGCCAGCAGCCGCGGUAAUACGGAGGGUGCGAGCGUUGUCCGGAAUCACUGGGCGUAAAGGGCGCGUAGGCGGCGCGGGAAGUCGGGGGUGAAAGUCCGGGGCUCAACCCCGGAUCGGCCUUCGAGACUCCCGCGCUGGAGCACAGUAGAG